rnacentral:misc_RNA from 1 species
UACGUAGGUGGCAAGCGUUGUCCGGAAUUAUUGGGCGUAAAGCGCGCGCAGGCGGUCUUUUCAGUCUGCUGUGAAAGCCCCCGGCUCAACCGUGGAGGGUCCUUGGAAACUGGGAGACUUGAGUACAGAAGAGGCGAGUGGAAUUCCACGGGUAGCGGUGAAAUGCGUAGAUAUGUGGAGGAACACCAGUGGCGAAGGCGACUCUCUGGCCUGUAAAUGACGCUGAGGCGCGAAAGCGUGGGGAGCAAACAGG